UACGAAGGGGGCUAGCGUUGCUCGGAAUCACUGGGCGUAAAGCGCACGUAGGCGGCUUUUUAAGUCAGGGGUGAAAUCCUGGAGCUCAACUCCAGAACUGCCUUUGAUACUGGUGAGCUUGAGUCCGGAAGAGGUGAGUGGAACUGCGAGUGUAGAGGUGAAAUUCGUAGAUAUUCGCAAGAACACCAGUGGCGAAGGCGGCUCACUGGUCCGGUACUGACGCUGAGGUGCGAAAGCGUGGGGAGCAAACAGGG
rnacentral:rRNA from 1 species